rnacentral:lncRNA from 1 species
ACAUUUUUGUUUAUGUUAAAUAAAGUUUCUGCAUGGUCUACAUUUGGGGAAGUGCAGUGUUUUAAAGAAUGGACAGCUCUGCAAGACUGCAAAAGACACUCAAGAGAGGAAUCACUAUUUUUUCAACCCUGGGAAUAAGAAGACAUGUGACAACUUUUCUAAACUCAUCCUUUCAUCUCUUGACCAGCCUGUGUUCAGUUUAAAGCAUAGCAAUAGAAUUUCACAAGAAGCCACACCCAAAGUAAUUGACUUAUUGUGUGAAAUCCUAACUGUAGUAUAUAGAUUUUAUUUAACAGCUAUGAAAGAAAAGGUACAACAUUGAAAAUGGUUGCCAAGAGGGCUCAGCAGCAACCCCCAGCCACACGAUAAUGCUCAAAUCUAACGUGGCCUAAAAGGGAGUCCUGGAUGGCUGAGUCCUGGCUCACCCUGGCUGCCACCACUGCCUGGAAGCGCCCUAAUGAGUGUUUUGUCAUCCUGGGAUCAUCAGCAGGAAACACACCCUCAGAUCUGCAGAGAUGGAAGUGCAGCCUUCUCAGGUGAAAAAAACUCAUCUAAACCUUUGGACUUGGAAUUGCCCACAUAGACCACAUCAGCAAUGGAAGACAGAGCAAAUAACAUGUCGGUUCAAUGUAUGAAGGAGCUUUUCUUUCCCCUGCCCCAACCCUCAGACAGGUAAAUCUGUGAAAGCUCUAUUUUGAUUCUUUUUAAAUUAUUUGUUUUACAUGUUUUGUGUUUUAUGUUGGCUGAUUCCAAAUGGUUGAAAUAGUGGAGGUCCAACAACCAUUUUCACAGUGUAAUCUUCAGAAGUUCAUCCUUUGGGUUGUAAUUUCAUGAUAAGGAGGAGCAAGAAGAUGCUUUUUGUAACUCAAAUAGCAUCUUCUGAGAAAGGUCUCUAUUUUCACUUGUGUCUUAACUUACAACUGUGUUCAACUCUAUUUCCUUUCCUUGCUUUACAUUUUUUCUUAUGCACCUAUAAUUAUCCAAUUUACUAUAUAUUUUAUAUUUGUCUGUUAUUGUCUGUUUUCUCCACUAAAACAUAAACUUCUUGCAGGAUUUUUGUCUGUUUUUCUCACUGUUGAAUCCCAAAAGCAAAGAAGAAUACCUAGCAUAGAGUUAGUGUUCAAGAAACAUUUGCUAAAUGGAUGAACACCUCUUCAUUUUAUGAGAAAUGAAUCUUCCCCAAGAAGGGGCUCCCGGGUGCAUCUUGUGUGUAGACAUCUCUAUGUCCCCAGGCUGCUGUAGAGCUGAGUCAUCUUUGUGCCCACACCUGGGAAGCAGGACCCUUGUUCGUGUUUCUUUGGCCUUGGGCAUGUCAGUGAGUAAGGAGGAUGUGUGGGAUCUGUGUCCAUAUUUACGUAAGAAAGCAAUAUAGCCUACUGCCCCUUUCAUUUUCAGCAAGUGUGUGUUUACACUGGCCUGGGAUCUACUAUAAAGUUUAAUGUUUGGUUAUACAUUUAUUUCUCAGCUACUUUUGUGAAUAAACAUUUUCUAAAACAUAUCUAUUUUAAAAGUGACAAUGUUUGAAUGAAAGAAAGAGGAGGAGUGAAGCCUGGUAGUUAAUUUGCAGAACUUAGAGCCUGAAUUUUUUGGGUUGGAUCUUUGAUUUUACCAUUCAUUAGUUUUGUGAUCUUCCUCAAUUUCCCAAUCUGUAAAAUGGAAAUAAUAAUAGUACCUACCUCAUGGGAUGUCAAGAGUAAAUAUAAAAAAUGUGUGACACCCAGGAAUGACUAUAUAAGUACUAGCAGUUAAUAUUAUUUAUUAUUAUUAUUCCUGCUUGAAUAAUCACUUUGAGCUAAAUCACUUUGUUUUUACUACUAGCAAUAAGCAUGCUUAAAUACUUUUAAUGUUAUUAUAAUUUGUAUUAUAGUAGACUAAUCUGGAAUUUUAUUAAGCAGAAUUCCCUCUAGACAGGCAUCUAUGCAUACGGAGCAAAAAAUGAUGUAUAUAAUAAUAAGUUUGAGGCACUGAAAGAUCUUGAAUGAGCUUCUGAAUCAUCAGUUACUGUAUCUUUGGGGAACACCAGAGAAAGACUCUCCUUACCAUCCUCACUGCAACUAAACUUCGGGACCCUGGGCUUUGGGUUCAUGGUCUCGCCACUGAAAAGGUUCCCUCCACACUUUUGGAAUUGUGCACCCAUUGGAACCCUUGAGGUAAAGCUAACCAGAGAAAUUUCUCCCAAGAAGAAGAAGAUGGCAUCCUUGAAGUGAACAGCUUUUCCCAAGUUCACAGAGUAAGACUUCUACUAUCAUGAAACUCUUAUCUUUGAAUAUUUUUUCUUGCUUAUAUCUCUACUAACAAUAGAAGUGGAAAAAGGGUCUGUUAUGUGCACUUAUGGGGUAUACUUUUAUUUGUGAAGAAGUUUGCAGCCAGCCUUAUACAUGGAUAACCUUCUACUUUGAUAGAGAUGAAGGCCCAAUGCAGGUAAGAAACUUUAGUGGUACAUAUGUUGCCCCAUAAUCACUCAAAAACAAAAUAUUGGUUCAUCCCUCUUAACCCACAUCAUGGGUUAAAGAGAACAUUGCCAGGGGGUCUUCACUCUCCUAGAAGGGCAUCAUUUGUUAAGUCCUUUUUCCAUGGCUUAAAGUAAAGGAAGCAAUGAUUAGAAAUGUAUCCCUCAUGAUAGGCUCUAUAGCAAAUCUACUUUAAAGGCUAUCGUUACACAACAGAUUUUAAAUUCUCUUUGAAAGUUAUGCUAAAUAGAAUUGGCUAAACAAAGAAGUUCUUCUGCAGCUGCUGACACUUGCGGCCUAUGGAGAAACAGGUCAAAUGCAGAUUAUAAAAAUUCAGUGUAGGGGAUUAAUGAAAAGACCACUUAGUCAAGUGAGUAGACUCUUCAUCUAGCUCAUUCUUUAAACUAUUUAAGUGUAGGUGGUUUGGUUUCUAGGGACCCUGGUUAAGGAGCAUACUCUGAACUCUGGGUAUUUUCCUUCCAGUAGUGAUAAUAGUAGUCUCCUUGGUGCACUGUAUUCUCUCAAAGGUUUUAAAUGCUUGCAUGCAGCCAUCUCUAGAACAUCAAAUGGUCUCUCUUCGACUGGAAUGACAACAGCUGAAAGAAAUGUUCAACCAUGAGGACACCAUACCUAUAAAUGAUGUGCUGAGACUGGAAACCCAAAAUGUUGGUAACUGAGAAGUGGCACUAAGGCCCUAAGUUUUGGUUGCACACUCACCUAAGUGAGAACCUGACCAAAAAGGGGGGAUUUUUAAAACAAAACUCUGUGAGGCCAUUGUUUUGGACUAAGCUCAUGCACUCAUGCCCUGGGCCCCAACAGACUAAAGCAAACACAGAUGGAGUCAUUUGUGCUAAGACUUUAAGGAAACGCUUGGAUUCCACAACAGACUAGCUUUUGUUUUUUUCUUCUGCAAAUCUCUAUAACAAACAUUUCUGACAACAUAGGUAUCCACCCCCUGAAGUUCCCAUUAAAUCUUUUAACCAAAUUCAUUUCCUCUCACCUAGAGACCAUCAAGCUUCAGAUGAUGAUGCAACAAAGGUUUCAGCCAGUUCCAGGUGAAGACACCACCCUUGGACAUCAAGAAGCUACCCUGCCUCCACUAGAUAGAGCAGGGAGAGUUCUGUGAUCCCCAAUAGGGCCUUUGUAGACGCUAUCCCUUUGUGGAGAAGACUCUCAACACCCUUCAAAUACUAUGAUCUCAUCAGGAAGGCCCUCCCUGACCACCUAUGCCUGGAACUGUUCUGGGUUUGUGAGACACAGUUGGGAAGAAGACAGACUUGAGCACGGGCAGCGGUGGUUGCCAUGAAGAUGUGUGAGAAGACAGGCCUGCCUGAAAAUGCUGCUGGUCCUGGUACUGUCCUGCCCGCAACAGCACGCACACUCCAGUCUUGCCUUUUCUUGUGCUUUUUUUUCCAUUUCUUUUUAAAGAAAUCUCAUUUCCCUUCUU